rnacentral:rRNA from 1 species
UACGGAGGGUGCAAGCGUUGUCCGGAAUCACUGGGCGUAAAGGGCGCGUAGGCGGCUUGAUAAGCGUGCGGUGAAAGCCCGGGGCUCAACCCCGGGUCGGCCGUGCGAACUGUCGAGCUGGAGCACUGUAGAGGCAGGUGGAAUUCCGGGUGUAGCGGUGGAAUGCGUAGAGAUCCGGAAGAACACCGGUGGCGAAGGCGGCUUUCUGGUCUGUAACUGACGCUGAGGCGCGAAAGCGUGGGGAGCAAACAGG